rnacentral:rRNA from 1 species
UACGUAGGGCGCAAGCGUUGUCCGGAAUUAUUGGGCGUAAAGAGCUCGUAGGCGGUUUGUCGCGUCUGCUGUGAAAACUCGGGGCUUAACUCCGGGCCUGCAGUGGGUACGGGCAGACUAGAGUGCGGUAGGGGAGACUGGAAUUCCUGGUGUAGCGGUGAAAUGCGCAGAUAUCAGGAGGAACACCGGUGGCGAAGGCGGGUCUCUGGGCCGUAACUGACGCUGAGGAGCGAAAGCGUGGGGAGCGAACAGGAUUAGAUACC